rnacentral:rRNA from 1 species
AUGGUUGGCAAGCUCUCCAUGGCCACCGUGGCGCCAUGGAAGCGACUCUGCAAGCUCGUAUCAAACGGACACUACCAGGAAGCGCUCCUCUCCUACUCUCGAGCCCACGCGUCCAACCUCCGUCCGGACGCCUUCACCUUCCCCUGCCUCCUCAAGUCCUGCGCCGCGCUCAAGGAUGCCCCCGCCGUGCUCCAAGUCCACGGUCACCUCGCCAAGUCGGGCUUCUCCUCCUGCCCCUACACGGCCACCGCCCUAACGAGCGCCUAUGCCAGGCUCCUCCGUCUCGGGGAGGCAUGCAAGGUGUUCGACGAAAUGCGGGAAAGAAACGUGCCCUGCUUCAAUGCUCUCAUCGCGGGGUUCUCGCAGUGCGGAAAGGUUGAUGAAGCGAUGGGUGUAUUUAGGCUCCUCGGGAAAGAGGGGAUACUGCCGGACUCUGUCACAAUGGCGAGUGUGCUACCUGCGUGUCGGGCCAUGGAGCAAGGGAAGCAGCUGCACGGGCUUGUAGUGAAGACCGGUGAUUGUUUGGAUCGCUAUGUUGCCACAUCACUCAUCACAAUGUACUUGGAUUGUGGUGAUUCGGAUGGCGCAAGGAGGAUUCUUGAACUCAUGGUUGAUAAGGGCGUCGAGAGUUACAAUGCAAUGGCUUCUGGACUGUUGAGGAAUGGUGAAGAUUUUAUAGCUUUGGGUACUGUCAGGGAAAUGAUAUUUGGAUCCAGCGAAAAACCUAAUGAGACCACUUUGCUGGUAGUCCUCUCAGCGUGCACUAGUGUGUUGGUACCGUCACUUGGUAAAGAGGUCCAUUGCUAUGUCCUGAAGCAUGCAAUGGAUUGCAGUAUCAAGAUCAGGACUGCACUCAUUGACAUGUACUCAAAAUGUUGUUCUCUGGAGUGUGCUUACCAGGUUUUCUCUGCCAUGGAUGAGCGGAACUUGGUGACCUGGAAUACGAUGAUCUCAGGUUUUCUGAUACACGAGAAGCUUGCAAACGCCUUAGGGUUGUUCCAACAGCUGAGGUUGAAAGGCUUCAGCCCUGACAGUAUUACAUGGAAUCUGAUGAUUAAUGGGCUUGCACAUCACCAGAAGUUUGCUGAGGUUUUCUCAUUUUUCAAUAAGAUGCGGUUGGAGGGAGUCUCAGGUGCAAGUCUGGAAACCAUGACAAGUAUGUUGAGUGCUUGUUCAGCUAUGUCAGAUAUCAAGCAUGGGAAGGAAAUAUAUUGCCAUGUUAUUCGAACAAUGCAACACUUUGAGGAUGAUGUUUUCCAGACAACAGUGAUUGACAUGUUUAUGAGUUGUGGAUGUGACAGCUAUGCUGGUAGAAUAUUUGAGAAAGAUAGGAGGAAAUCGAAUGAUCCAGCUUUGUGGAAUGCAAUGAUUUCUGGUUACGGAAGGUGUGGGAAAAGCAGUUUAGCAUUGCAAACCUUCAACGAAAUGCUUGAGCAGCAAGUGCAUCCCAACUCAGCCACCUUUCUCUGUGCUCUUUCAGCUUGUGGCCAUGCUGGAUUAGUCCAGAAAGCAUUGCAUAUCUACCAAAUGAUGGAGAGUGCCUACAGUAUCAACCCUACUUUUGAACACUUGAGCGUCAUGGUUGACCUUUUUUGCCGUGCUGGAAAGCUAUCUGAAGCUUAUGGUCUAUUACUGAAACAUACUGAUCCACCAGCUUCAAUGUGGUAUUCUUUUCUUGGUGCUUGUAGAAACUACUCUAAUGCCGAACUUGGUGAAAUAGCAGCAACAAAACUCUAUGAUUUGGACCCUUCAAGCACAACUCCAUGGGUAAUUCUAUCCAACAUAUACGCUGAACAAUAUCGAUGGGGCGAAGUAGAGACACUGAGGAAAAUGAUGUCAGACAAGCACCUCAUCAAAGCUCCUGCGCGUACUGAACUUGUAUGA